GUUGGCGGUUCCUGACCGGCGGAGGAAGAUCUGGACGGCACUGGGAGUUCCAUCAAGGACGUUAAUGGACGGGUGCCUGGGGAAGGAGAGCGAAGCCCGACUACAGAUGGCACGGUGGUCGGAAAUAGGGCAGUAUAAUGCGCAGUAUCCAUCUUUGAAGUGGGUACGGCGGGCUUUAUAAACGGUAGACGUCGCCGGGCACGGCGACCCUUCGCAAAGAGGAAGGGGCUGAUGGGAGACAUAAAGGAAGGCGAGGGACCGCGGACCCCAGGUUCAUACGUACGGAGCAGCCGCCCCCACCCCUCUUCCUCCCUACACCGCUGUAGACGAAGCAGGGGGAAACUGGAACCAAAUCCAGCAGGGGAUCCCUCUGUACAUGCACGGACGGACCUUGAUAAUGGAAUAACCCACAGCGUCGCCUCCUUUUUCACCCCCUUCUCCGCCUGUCCGUCGCCUCACACAGAGCCCUCGCGCUGAGCUGGCCUCGGCGCCCCUCGACGCAGUCGACCCACUGAAGCAUCUCCGAGGAAGUAGCUACUCAUC
rnacentral:lncRNA from 1 species